AAUAAUUUUAUUUUCAUUCUUAGGGCUGAUUUUUAAUGACAUUCAUUUGCAUAUUAUUCGUCGCUUUUCCGUACCCCGCCUCCUUCCUAGAGCUUCCCAGAAAAUCGGUUUACCUUAAAUUUUGUUUGCAAGCUUGAGACAUGAAAACGAAUUUUCUAAGAACUACUUUUAAAAAAUUGUAAUCCCCCACCCCCUCAGACUUUUGGUUAACCACGACCUUUGACAGUUUUCGUUUCUUACCGCUCCUCUUUAGCAAUAUGCCCAGGUAAAGUCCUGUAGCGAGAGCGUACAGUACAACAAAGGAAAACGUGGUCCACUAAACGUUCAGAUUCAGGUUUCCACAGUGUGUGCAGACGAAAUAGCUGUUGACCGAGAACGAUCCCCAUCCUCUAUUUUCUUCUUGAUCCCGACGCCAUUCUCUGCUUGAAAUUGCACGUGGAAUAUAGUAGGCACUCACGUACACCAGUGGGAUUUAAAUCGCUUUUAUGUACGUACAUAAGAUUACGUUACAUAAUGUAGCAGCAAAAAUGGCUGGUGAACGAUGUAUGGAGGCUAUAGCCGUGCUCGAUAUCAUCGCAAUUUUGUAACAUUUAUUAUGUUUGUGUGUUUUCGUCAUUUGUAAGUUCCUACAUUACGGGAAUCCCCCGUGGAAAUGACAAUACUAAAUAAACAGAGGAAUUGAUGA